rnacentral:rRNA from 1 species
AUGGAUACCAAAAUUGGUACUAUAAACAAGGUUGAUCUAGAACGCAUGGUGCUUGAUCGAAGUGCAGAGCCAACAUACCUUCCAUUAUCACUUUUGGAAGACAUCACAGAUUGUUUUUCCGAUGAUCAACAAAUUGGCAGCGGUGGAUUUUCUAUAGUUUACAAGGGAAUGGUGGGGGAAAAGAUGGUCGCUGUGAAGAAACUAUCCCAAACGAUGCAUGAGAAUAAAUUCCACAAAGAAGUUGAAUGCAUUACGAAGGCCAAGCACAAAAACAUAGUGCGUUUCCUUGGAUACUGUUCUGACACGCAAGGGAGAAUCGAAGAUUACGAAGGAAAGUUUGUCAUGGCAGAUGUACGAAACUGGUUGCUAUGUUUUGAGUACGUACCGAAUGGAAGUCUCAUCGAGUAUAUUACCGAUCCAUCUCGUGGACUUGAAUGGAGAGAGCGAUACCAAAUAAUUAAGGGAAUCUGUGAGGGACUACUUCAUCUUCACGAGAAGCGUAUCCUCCACCUAGAUCUCAAGCCUAGUAAUAUAUUGAUUGAUAUUCACAUGGUACCCAAAAUUGCUGAUUUUGGCCUCUCAAGGUGCCUUGAUAAAGACCAAACCCGUGACUUCACUUCAAACAUAUGUGGAUCACUGGGAUACAUGGCACCCGAAUUCUUCAUAGGACAAGUCACAUUUGCAUCAGACAUAUACAGUCUUGGUAUUAUAAUUAUGGAGAUUCUGACAGGGGAGAAGGGGUAUCAGGAAGAACAGGAUGUAGUUGAGAAUUGGAUGAAUCGGUUGGAGGCAGCAGAUCAAAAGGAGACGCAGUUGGAGCAAGUAAGAGUAUGCACUACGAUAGGGAUAGAGUGCAUGGACCCUAACCCAAAGAAGAGACCGUUUGCACAUCAUAUAGUCAAUAAGCUUGAUAAAACGGCAAGUAUCAUCGAAACUUGCAUCACUAGUCCAUCUGUUGAGCAUCAGGUUAGAUCCCUAAAAGAACAACACUGUCAAAGGAAAAUUGUGGAUCUUUCACUUGAGUACCUCCUAAAAGAACAACACAGUCAAAGGAAAAUUUUGGAUCUUUCAUUUGAGUAUCUCAUAAAAGAUAUGAGCGGGCGCACUAAAACGGAAGAACUCAUGGAAUUUAUUGGGGCAUUCAAAGAUCAUUGGCGGCACGCGAAAGAACAUCAGUGGUCACUACGGGGAGUGCAAGGUACAAAGAAAAAUACCAGCCAACAACAAGGGGCAAGUAUUUCUAGCUCUAACUCUGUUGUGCUCAACAAGUUGAACAUCUUUAGUACAAAAGCACGCAGGAAUUAUGUCAGGAAUGGUGGGCCUAUGCUUGAGAAGAUAGAUAUGUUGAAACUUUUCAAGAAGGAGGAGCUUAAGCCAGCUAUUAAUGACAAGAACCGUAUUGGAAGAGAUGUCUUUGAAGAAGUUUACAUAGGCCUUGUUGAUAGAGUACCAGUCAUAGUAAAGAAGCAGAUUAGUGGUACUGUGCUACAAAAUGGACAGUUUGCAAAGGAAGUCAUCAUCCAAUCUCAAGUUCUCCACAAGAACAUUGUUAGGCUCAUAGGUUGUUGCGUGGAAGUUGACAUCCCGAUGCUAGUAUAUGAGUAUCUCUCCAAAGACAGCCUCCAUGACAUUCUUCACAACAACUGCAAGGUACGUCUCAACUUGGGCGUGCGUUUAAAUAUUGCCACAGAAUCAGCACGUGGUCUAGCUUAUAUGCAUUCAAGGCAUAAUAUCUUACAUGGUAAUAUUAAAUCAGAAAAUAUACUCUUGGAUGACCAUUUUGUGCCAAAGAUCUCAAAUUUUUGCAUAUCAAGGUUGACCGGGAGAGGCUACAAACACACCAGAACAGUCAAGGGCGACGAUCCUUAUAUGGAUCCACUAUACCUACAAACAGGCCUACUUAGCGAAUAUAGUGAUGUGUACAGUUUUGGAGUCGUUAUGUUGGAACUUCUUACCAGGAAGAAGGCCACACACUCUGGUAAUAAUAGCUUAGUAAGGAAUUUCCUUGAGAAUCACAAGCAGGGUAGGAAAUCAACCGAGCUAUUCGAUGAGAAAAUUGCAGUGAUGGAGAAUCUGGAGCUUCUUGACAAUCUGGCACAACUUGUUGUGGAAUGCCUUAGCCAAAACUUGGAUCUAAGACCGAAAAUGAUAGAUGUUGCAAAGCGGCUCCACAUACUGAAUGAAUCUCGUGGCCAGUGGGUCUUAAGUUGA